AACAAACGCUGGCGGCGUGCCUAAUACAUGCAAGUCGAACGGGGAAAGUAGCAAUACGAGUACUAGUGGCGCACGGGUGAGGAAUACAUGGGUAAUCUGCCCUCGAGCUCGGGAUAACCAGUCGAAAGACUGGCUAAUACCGGAUAUGACCACAAGAUCUGAGGAUCAAGGGGUAAAAGGUUUUUCGCUUGAGGAUGAGCCCAUGUGGGAUUAGCUAGUUGGUGUAGGUAACGGCUCACCAAGGCGACGAUCCCUAACUGGUCUUAGAGGAUGAUCAGUCACACUGGAACUGAGACACGGGUCCAGACUCCUACGGGAGGCAGCAGUAGGGAAUAUUGCACAAUGGAGGAAACUCUGAUGCAGCGACGCCGCGUGAGUGAUGAAGGCCUUCGGGUCGU
rnacentral:rRNA from 1 species